rnacentral:rRNA from 1 species
UACGUAGGGUGCAAGCGUUAAUCGGAAUUACUGGGCGUAAAGCGUGCGCAGGCGGUUGUGUAAGACAGAUGUGAAAUCCCCGGGCUCAACCUGGGAACUGCAUUUGGGACUGCAAGGCUGGAGUACGGCAGAGGAGACUGGAAUUCCUGGUGUAGCAGUGAAAUGCGUAGAUAUCAGGAGGAAUACCGAUGGCGAAGGCAGGUCUCUGGGCUGAUACUGACGCUCAUGCACGAAAGCGUGGGGAGCAAACAGG